AGUGAACGCUGGCGGGACGCCUAACUCAUGCAAGUCGAACCGCAGCUCUGAACGAGCUUGAUUUUCUAGCAGGCGACCCGAGGCCCAGCACCGAAACACAUGCUCAAUACCUUUUAUACCAGUGUACCGAAGGGCGUACUACUCAAAUUCAGCAGACGACCAACGGGUGGAACAUGGGACCAUUCCGCCCUCGCACGAGUGGAUGCGCCGAUGUCAAAUUGGUUAGUUUGCGGGGGAAAUGCCCCCCAAGGCGUCGAUCCGUAGCCGGUCUGAGAGGAGGAUCAGCCACACUGGAACUGAGACGCGCUCCAGAACCCUACGGGAGGCGGCAGGGGGGAAUAUUGGACAAUGGGCGCAAGCCUGAUCCAGCCAUACCGCGUGGGUGAAGAAGGCCUUCUGGUUGUAAAGACCUUCUGUUGGGAAAGAAAAGCAGCAGUUUAAUACCCCGCUGUUCUGACGGUACCCAAAGAAUAAGCACCGGCUAACUUCGUG
rnacentral:rRNA from 1 species